rnacentral:rRNA from 1 species
UACAGAGGGUGCGAGCGUUAAUCGGAAUUACUGGGCGUAAAGCGUGCGUAGACGGUUAUCUAAGUCGGAUGUGAAAGCCCCGGGCUCAACCUGGGAAUUGCAUUCGAGACUGAAUAGCUAGGGUGCGGUAGAGGGAAGCGGAAUUUCCGGUGUAGCGGUGAAAUGCGUAGAUAUCGGAAGGAACAUCAGUGGCGAAAGCGGCUUCCUGGGCCAGCACCGACGUUCAGGCACGAAAGCGUGGGGAGCAAACAGG